GACGAACCACACGAACGUUAUUCGGAAUUACUGGGCUUAAAGGGUGCGUAGGCGGCGCGGAAAGUUGGGUGUGAAAUCCCUCGGCUCAACCGAGGAACUGCGCCCAAUACUACCGUGCUUGAGGGAGAUAGAGGUGAGCGGAACUUAGGGUGGAGCGGUGAAAUGCGUUGAUAUCCUAAGGAACACCGGUGGCGAAAGCGGCUCACUGGAUCUCUUCUGACGCUGAGGCACGAAAGCUAGGGUAGCGAACGGG
rnacentral:rRNA from 1 species